CAAAAGGUUGCUCCCACUCACUUUAAAGAGACGUUUACAGAGGAUUCCCAAAGGAAUAAAAGUUCAACUUUGUGUGAGGCCAAAGGUAUAGUUAAGCAACCCCAUUAUCUCAAAAGGUUGGAGGUUCAUAGGUACUAAGGUCCCAAUCUCCAAUUCUCAAAAUGGACCCCGCGAAGGGAAAGAAAAAGGCACCCGAGGAAUCUGAUCAUGUUCCUAAUUCCAUGGCUUUGUUUGACGUCUGCCAUGACGAGGAGCUAGAUCCCAACAUUUUGUCCUCACUUACUGCCUUUGUUUCUAAAGCAACUAGAUCUACAUUUUUAUAAUUUAACUCCGAACGAGACUCUCCCAAGCAAAGAUGAAGCCUAAUUGAUGCUCACCUCUUACUAGCUAGCCAAUGUCCUUCAUCAUGAUUAGCAAGCGAAAUAUGAGGUUUACUUGCUGUGAACCAAUAAGAUAGAGAAAAGGGCAGACUUCCUAGAGAAGAAGCAUGUGGCCUUUCAACGAAAAUUGAGAGGAGUUGAAAAUGACAUGAAAAAAAUAUAAGGAGCUGAGCAAAGAUUCCGAGGCACUGGCUGCCACGGAAGCCCUCUUAGUGGCUGAUCUUACCAGGCUCACUAAGGAUUUGGAAUGGAUCAAGAAAAUCUUUCUACUUAUGUUGUUAGAUUCGGUGGUGAGCUUCUUCGUCUCAGAAAGAGCUUCAGUUUGUUAGGAAUAAGCAGUUUGCUUUUUCUAAAGACUUGGAAAUGAAGAGCAAGAAGGGCUUGCUUCUUAACCAGCUGGAGAAUGCUGAUAAAAAGCUGUCUCUUGCGGAGUCUGAUCUCUUGCUAAUGAGUUGAGGCUUGUAGAUGAGUCCAUGGAGGAUGGAGGCUAUAAGGUUCUUGAUAUUAUUAGGGAUUUUCAUCUUUGAGUGGGACCUGAGUUUUUUAGAGGAUCAUGAAGAGGGUGCCAAAUAUACCUCUGUGGGCGAAGAUGCUUUGACGGCCGUCCAAACUUCCAGUUAUCCGUCUGCUUCUAUUGAACGUGCCUCUAUUCCUCCUAGCGAAGGUACUGCUAUGCCAAUAUGAUCUCGCCUUUUGAUACUAUUAAAGUUCAUACUCCCUCUAAAGCGAGUGUGCCUUUUGAUGGUAACACUUCGCUUGGCCAAGAUGAUCUCGCCUUUGGGAAUUUCCAACCUUUUAUGAAUUUAAAGGGAUGGCUAAUUUUUUAUGCUCUUGUUUCUCACUUUUAUUGUAUUGACGAUAUUCCAUUCUAAUUUAUAGGAAAAUACCAUUUUAGCAAAAUUCAUUAUAUAAAUAUCAUUGUUUGCAUUGUACGAAUUAAUUUAUUUUGGCCAUUUUCUCUGUGAUUGCGUUGUCCUGCUGGUUUUAUGAUUUCAUUACGCUUUGCAUGAAAUAUUGUAUAUCUAGUUGAGGAUUUUUAUUGCGCUUUGCACAAGUACGUCUACAGUAUUUGCAUAUUAAGCAUGGAACUUAUCGAUCCCUUAUCGUUUUUCAUUGUGACAAUGAAAUUUUCCAUAUAUAGAAUUUUGUUAAAAUCAUUGUUACAACAUAAUGAAGUGUGGACUACAAUCAUUUCCCUUAUCAUAAGUACUUUGCGCAUAAUUACAGUAUGUCAUGACAUUUGAGUUUGUCUGGGUGUGGCCUUGUCCUUUGACAAUAAUUUCCUUUCGGUUUGAAAUUAAUUUCCAUUUACAAUUGAAAUUUCUUUAGAAGGAUAGACUUCGCAUUUGACUGAAAUUUUUUGGUAGAUUGAAGCUCGCCUUCGGUUUUCGUAUCUAUCUUUCAUAAAAUUUAGUAUUGAUUUGUAUAUCGAGACCUAUACUUGUGAAGUUAUCUUUACUAACAGGCAGGUGAUUUGACCGCCAUUCCCAGUCUCAGAUACUUGCUUUCCUAGAAAAGAAUUUUCAAGCAUGUUUUUGUUUCUUUCUGUUGGGCUGUGAUGCCAUUUGAUCCAGUCCAACUAUUAGGCAAUGAUGAAAAGGCUCAAAAAAAUAUGAAUUCAAUACUUGGUCCAUUAAUUAGAUACCUAGAAGGCCCACUUAACCGAGCCCAAUACCCAGCCCACACAUCUUAGUCGCUCUUGGACCGUUGGAUUGACCCGCUAAUCAACGGUUGAUGAUAUUAUCUAUAAAUAAUAUCCUUAGCUCCUGUUUGGCAGGUGGAUCGUCAUUCUGUUCUCUGAUUUUCCUCUCUGCCUUCUGGAACCUUCGUGUUCUUCGUCUUUGUGACCCUUCCUUCUUCUCUUUGUGAGAGUUCUGGUUGAUUAUCUUUGUGAUAAUUGUAUUCUUGUGUGAUUCUCCUUUGUGUGAGUAAUCUGUUGAAGGUAGGCAGUCCUUGUUUUGGUUUCCAGUGAAGCGACCUUGAUGUGUUGGGGUUGUGAGGAUUCGUGUUUGAGUCUCGGUGCCUCUGUGAUGGUGAAAGGGGCGUGGUCUGAGCCUACAAUUGAAAGAUCUAAACCUUGAUAUAGUGGUUUAGGAUUUAUAUUGUAAUCUGCAUUUUCAUGGUUAGGUUGACUAUUUUCGGAUCCUGUUUUUAAUAGUGGUAUCAGAGUUUUCUGCGUUCGUUCUUGAGUCUUCGAUUGAAGGUUGAACACUGGAAAAUUAAUUUCCAGGUGUUUGACUGUAGAUCGCGAAACCCUAAUUUUUUUAUUUGAGUCGACCUAGUGGUCUGAGGAGUUGAUUCCAACCUGGACUGUGGAAUGCGAGGGAUUUUCUGUGAGUCCUCGCUGUGAUCUGUAAAAGAACCAUAAAACCGAGAUCCUGUGGGUUCGUUUUGUGCUGGAACCCUAAUUUUUUGGAGCUGCAAGGCCUCGAAACUGGAAGAACUUGAAUCUGUAAGGGCAUGAUUUGUGCCUUGGUGACCUGCAGUGAAUUCAUCCUUGCUGCAAUAAUUUGUUCCUGAUUUCAGCUGGUGGUUAAUUGCUUAACCACCCUCGGUUUGCACUUCUUGAACCCUACAUGACUGCACACUCACUAAACACUGCUUUUAUGUAUUUAUGCCUCUAUGUUGAUAUGUUCAAUUACUGUAUAUUGUAACCUGUUACAUUAGUUUAUGAUAUUUUGUUAUAUUUGCCUGUGAUCAAUUAAGUUUGGAUGAUUCAAAUUGAGCCUUGACCUGAGAACUUGAUUCUCACGGAAUCCUGGUGAACUUGAUCAACCCUAGGUCCUGCAGAUAUUGAUUCUUUAAUCCUGAGAUAGAGUUCUUGCCUGCAUUGUUGUAUUUUUCUGAUUCUUGUGGUGUUUACAUUAGAAUAUCUAAUGAUCCUGCUAUUGAUUGAAACUAUUUGUGAAUAAAAUAAUUGUGGCUCAUUUAUUUGACUGCAUAUUACUUUAUGUGAUCUAAAACAUAAAUUUUUUGCGAAGGUCAAAUUCAACAGUUUUUUCAAAAGUUGAUCUUCUGUUCUGUUAUAAUUUGUGAAAAAUACUGUGUUAGUUUUUCACAAUAAAACAUGACAAAAUUUUUUGAACUUGGUGUUUUUGAUGGAAAAGGGGAUUUUCCCAUUUGGCAACAAAAAAUGCGAGGAGUUUUAGUUCAGCAAAAAGUUUUUAAAGCAAUAACAGAUGAAUUUCCUGAUACCAUGACAGAUGAUCAAAAGGAAGAAUCUGAUGAACUUGCUUAUACCUCCAUUAUUUUGCAUUUAUCUGAUCAAGUUUUAAGAAAAGUAGGCAAACAUGAAACUGCUAAGGCCUUAUGGGAUGAAUUAGAGAAGCUUUACCUACCUAAAUCUUUGCCUAAUAAGUUGUUUCUAUUAGAAAAAUUUUUUAGUUUUAGGAUAGAUCCAACUAGAGACUUAGAAGACAGCUUAGACAUUUUUAAUAAGUUAGUUCAAGACAUUAUUAAUACAGGUGAGAAAGUUUCUGAUGAGUAUAAGGCUGUAGUACUACUUAAUGCUAUACCUGAAGCCUACAAAGAGGUUAAAGCCGUCAUUAAGUAUGGUAGAGAUACUCUUACACCUGAUAUUGUCAUAGACUCUUUAAGGAGUAAGGAACUUGAACUUAAGUCUGAGAGAGGUAAUAGUGGCCAUGAAAACUUGUUUGCUAGAGGGAGGACUUUAAGUAGGUCUAGUGGUACUCAGGAAAGCCAUAAUAAUCAGGGAAAUAACAGUAGGAGAAAGUUUAAAAGUAGAGGCAGGUCUAAGUCAAGGACUAGGACUAAAAAGUGUUAUGGGUGUGGAAAAUCUGGACAUUUUAUUAAAAACUGUUAUAAGAAGAAAAAUGAACAGAAACAAAAGGGUGUUGAUGAAGGUAAUGUGGUAGAAUCUGAAGGUUCUGCCACAGUUGAUGUAUAUGCUGUGACUGAAAAUUUACCUAGUUCUGCAAAUGUUGUUGAUGAGAAUCAGAACCAAGAAUGGAUCUUGGAUUCUGGUUGUACCUUCCAUAUGACCUUUAAAAGGGCAUAUUUAGACAAUUUUAAGAAAAUUGAUGGAGGAGAAGUAGUUAUGGGCAAUAAUGUAGCCUGCAGAGUUGAGGGAGUUGGGAAUGUCACUUUGAAAUUUGAUAAUAGAUACAUUUACACUCUUGAAAGGGUGAGAUAUGUUCCUGAAUUGAAUAGGAAUCUGAUUUCCAUGGGAAAUCUAGAUGAUAUGGGAUUGCAAGGAAAAAUAGGAGAUGGCUUCUUGAAAGUGAUAAAAGGAUCACUUGUUAUUUUUAAAGGUGUUAAAAGAAAUGGGAUUUAUGUGAUCAAAGCUAGUACAGUGUUUGAUCACAUAGGUGAGUCUUCUAAUGUAGAAAUUGAUGCUACCUUAAAGUGGCACAAGAGAUCGGCCCAUAUAGGUGAAAAGGGCCUACACAUCCUUUAUAAGAAAUGUGUGUUUGGGAAGGACUCUAUAUCUAAGGUGUCUUUUUGUGAAAACUGCACCUUAGGAAAACAGCAUAGGCUGCAUUUUAACACAGGAAAACAUAGAACCACCUCUAUCCUUGAGUAUAUACAUGCUGAUUUAUGGGGGCCUUCAUCCACUGUCACUCAAGGAGGAAAUAGAUAUUUCUUGUCCUUGAUUGAUGACUAUUCUAGGAAGGUUUGGGUUUAUUUGUUGAAACACAAAUCUGAAACAUUUGAUAAAUUCAGAGUUUGGAAGAUUCUGGUGGAAAAUGAGAUUGGGAAGAAAAUUAAGAUCCUUAGGACGAAUAAUGGCCUAGAGUUUUCAAUGCUGAAUUUGAUCAGUUGUGCAAAGAAUCUGGUAUUAAAAGGCAUAAAACUGUACCUUAUACAGCUCAGCAGAAUGGAGUGGCUGAGAGGAUAAAUAGAACCUUGCUAGAUAAGGUUAGGUGCAUGUUGAUAGGCUCAGGUGUCCCUAAGGUGUUAUGGGGUGAAGCUGUAAUGACAGCUUCAUAUAUUGUUAAUAGGACCCCCUCAAGUGCUCUAGGAGAUAAAACCCCUGAAGAGCUAUGGACAGGACAUGUUCCUGAUUAUUCACAUUUAAGAAUCUUUGGUUGUGCCACCUAUUCCCAUCAAAGUAUAGGAAAACUUGAACCUAGAGCCCAGAAAUGUGUUUUCUUGGGAUAUCCCGAUGGGGUUAAAGGUUAUAGGCUAUGGAGUAAAGAAGUAAAAGGUUUUAGAAUCAUCACCAGCAGAGAUGUUACCUUUGAUGAGUCAAAAAUGCCUUGCUUAGAAAAUAAAGAACCAAAAGGGCUACCUGGUGAUGAAAGAGGUGAUAAUACCAAGCUGCAGGUGGAGCUUGGCUUAGCUACUGAACCUGUUAGUGAUGAACAGGUAGAUGAAGAAGCUGAAACAGCUUCUGAUCCUCAAGAAAAUGAAGAGAAAAAUGUUUAAGAAAAUCUGGAAAGUCGGCCUCAUGAAUUGGGAGAUUACCAAUUAACUAGAGAUAGGACUAGGAGAGAAGUAAGAGAGCCUGUUAGGUAUGGAGAUUACCUUUCACUUGCUGUUUUGUCCUAUCAUGACUUAGUGUUUAAAGAACCAAAAUCUUAUGAAGAGGCAAUGAGCUGCAAGCAGUCUGAGAACUGGCAUGCUGCUAUGAUAGAUGAGAUAGACUCCUCAAUGAAAAAAGAGACUUGGACUUUAGUUCCAAAACCUGCAGGUAAGACCCUUGUUGAUUGCAAGUGGAUCUUUAGUGUUAAGGAGGGAAAUACUAAAAAGAUGUCCAUAAGAUUUAAGGGUAGACUUGUAGCGAAAGGACUUACGCAAAAAGAGGGCAUAGAUUAUAAUGAGAUAUUUUCACCUGUGAUAAAGUACACAAUAAUUAGAGUUAUGCUUGCCCUUGUUGCUCAUUAUGAUCUUGAACUUGAACAAAUGGAUGUGAAAACUGCUUUCUUGCAUGGUGACCUUGAUGAAGUGAUUUAUAUGAGACAGCCACCUGGUUUUAUUGAUGAAACUAAAUCUGAUCAUGUGUGUCUGUUAAAAAGAUCAUAAUAUGGUUUAAAACAAUCUCCACGACAAUGAUACAAAAGGUUUGAUAAUUUUGUAUCUACUAUUGGUUUCAUAAGAAGUGAAUAUGACCAUUGUCUUUACUUUAAAAGAAAUGAUGAAAAUGCUAUUGCUGCAUUUAUACUUCUUUAUGUGGAUGAUAUGUUGCUGAUUGGUCAGAAUAUGAAUGUUAUUAAUUAGAUAAAACGGUCUUUAAGUGCUGAAUUUGAAAUGAAAGACCUAGGACAUGCAAAGAGAAUCUUAGGUAUGGAAAUCACUAGGAAAAGGCACCAUAGGUUACUGUACUUGAAGCAAACUGCAUAUAUUGAAAAAAUGUUGACUAAGUUUGCCAUGUAUAACUCUAAAUCUGUUUCACUUUCAUUGGCCAGCCAUUUUAAACUUAGUAAAGAGCAAUGUCCUGUAAAUGAAUCUGACAUUAGGCAAAUGGAAAAUGUACCCUAUGCUAAUGCCGUAGGUUCUGUCAUGUACACUAUGGUAUGUACUAGGCCUGAUGUAGUUCAUUCCAUUAGCUCACUUAGUAGAUUUAUGGCCAAUCCAGGACCAGACCAUUGGGUUGCUCUAAAAUGGCUGUUGAGGUACUUGAAAGGAUCUUCACAUGUUGGUUUAAUCUUUAGUGCUUGUAAUGAAGGUGUUGUACUUAAGGGUUUUGUAGAUUCAAAUUUUGCCGGAGAUAGAGACAAUAGGAAAUCUACUACUUCUUAUAUGUUUACUUUGUGUAAUACAUGUAUUAGUUGGAAAUCUCAACUUCAACCUAUUGUUGCUUUAUCUACUACUGAAGCUGAGUAUGUUGCUGCAACUGAAGCAAUAAAAGAAGCAUUAUGGCCCAAGGGCUUAUUAUCUAAAAUAAAUGAAUUGAGUAACCUUGUUGUCUUGUAUUCUGAUAGUCAAAGUGCAAUUCACCUAUGUAAAAACCCUGAUUUUCAUGAAAGAACAAAACAUAUUGAUGUUAAGUUGCAUUUUAUUAGAGAUGUUGUUUCUAAAGAACUUAUUUUACUUGAGAAAAUUGCAACUCAGUUUAAUCCAACUAGUGUAGGUACUAAGGUAAUACCUUUAAACAAGUUUAAGUCUUGUUUACAAAUUUUGAACAUUGAUGCUGGUUAAGUGUUUUGUUUUGUACAGGUGCUAAGGUUGAUGCUUGUUGAGAAUGCUGGGAAGCUGUCUUCUUGAGAAGGAUAUUUAAAUUGUGUUUUACAUUUAUUAGGCUUCUUGUAUGAUCACUGGCAUCAAGGUGGAGAUCUGUUGGGCUGUGAUGCCAUUUGAUCCAGUCCAACUAUUAGGCAAUGAUGAAAAGGCCCAAAAAAUAUGGAUUCAAUACUUGGUCCAUUAAUUAGAUACCUAGAAGGCCCACUUAACCGAGCCCAAUACUCAGCCCACACAUCUUAGUCGCUCUUGGACCGUUGGAUUGACCCAUUGAUCAACGGUUGAUGAUAUUAUCUAUAAAUAAUAUCCUUAGCUCCUGUUUGGCAGGUGGAUCGUCAUUCUGUUCUCUGAUUUUUCUCUCUGCCUUCUGGAACCUUCGUGUUCUUCGUCUUUGUGACCCUUCCUUCUUCUCUUUGCGAGAGUUCUGGUUGAUUAUCUUUGUGAUAAUUGUAUUCUUGUGUGAUUCUCCUUUGUGUGAGUAAUCUGUUGAAGGUAGGCAGUCCUUGUUUUGGUUUCCAGUGAAGCGACCUUGAUGUGUUGGGGUUGUGAGGGUUCGUGUUUGAGUCUCGGUGCCUCUGUGAUGGUGAAAGGGGCGUGGUCUGAGCCUACAAUUGAAAGAUCUAAACCUUGAUGUAGUGGUUUAGGAUUUAUAUUGUAAUCUGCAUUUUCAUGGUUAGGUUGACUAUUUUCGGAUCCUGUUUUUAAUACUUUCUACCAUGAAUACGGUGUUACCCUUCGAGGGUUCUAGGCUGCUUUCUGUAAAAAGUUGAAAUAACAUUCUCACGCAGCAGAUUGGUUUCCCUUUAUACAGGCUAUGCCUUGGGGUGUUUCAAAAUUAUGGCACAAGUGGUAGAUUGAAGUCACAACUUUCAGUUUCUUUAAAGCUGGUCUUCCCAAGAUCCCGCUGUAAGCAGAUUUACUAUUAAUUAUUAAGAAAUCCGUGUGCCUUUGAAAUAUGAUGGGCUCUUCACUGAGCUCAACCACUAAUAUGAUUUGUCUUUUUUUGGGCUCAAGCUGUCCACAGUAAAACCGUAUAUAGGUUCAGCCAUUGGCAAAGGGAUGAUUAACUUGCAUUUGGUCAAAAUCACUUCCAAAUAGAAUAUUGAUGGAACUGUCAUUAUCUACCAUCAUGUGGCUUAGGCCGUUAUGGGCUAUAAUAGCUCGAGCUACCAAGGCAUCGAUUGUUAAAGGUAAUUGGAAGAUAUGAAUCUUCUAGUGGUGUUGGUAUAUCUGUUUCGUUCACUUAACGUGCUUCCACCAAUGUGAAAGCCUCUAAUUAUAUUAUCAAUUUUUUUGAUCGGAAGGAGCAAAUUAGGAGCAUUGACCUUUUAUUCGCCCUACUGUGUUCAGCUUAUGAGGCCUCGCGCUCUCAACAGAUGAGAUGUUUUUCCAUUCGAUCAUUCUCUAUGAACAUCCAACUGACUUCGUAGUUUCAUCAUUUUCAAUACUUCAUAACAUGGACUCAUCCAUGUUAUAAUCCCUGGAGAGAUGUAUACUGCAAAAUUUUGCUUUCUAGUCCUUAGGAGAGAUACAAUCUUCGUUCGCGGCAGAUGUGAGACCCAGUGAUAUUGUGUGGACCCUAUCCUUAGAUUCCAUGAAAUGCAAAUAUUGUUGCUUUGUUAAAUUUAAAGUAUAUAUGGUGGUCUUAUCUUUAAUUUUCUCAAUUCGCACUUUUUCUAUCUUCUUCUGGUUGGCGUAGUGUCUUCUGUCUGAAUUUCAUUUUGGAUUAGAUUCACCAAUUAGCAGUAAGUAAUAGGAUUUUGGUUGCGGACAACAUGCCAGAAGAGAGUUUCCAUAAGCAGACAAUUCCAUAAAGCAUCUUUGGUCUUCUUAUCAUAAAAUAGUUUCGUAAGCUAUCAAUUCGACGCUAAAUCAUGCAAAAUACCUUUUCAGAGAUUUUCUUUCCUCCUCCUACAUAUCAUUUAACCGCAUGGUUGGGGUUUGUCCCAAUCUGUUUCUGGCAAAUGUCCCCGGGAAAGCUUGUUUUAAUUAAGGCCAGCUCCUGAUAAGUCCUAAUGGUAAGUUGCUAUGCUAUGUUUUAGCUGAUCCAUGAAGGGUUAAGUGGAAUCUCUGGCACUUUAAUGCAGGGCUUGCUUUUUUCGACUUCAUUUGUACUUCAUUUGUGUCAUGUAUUUAGCCAAAUGAUACAUGGGAUCAUCUUUCCCAUUGUAUUUGUCCAUUACUAGAGAAUGGUACACGUUCGUUGUCAUCGUCCAUUUCAAAUGGUCUAGUUGAAAGAUCUUCAUAAAUUUUAGCGGGAGAGUGUGAUAUGAUGAAACUUCAUAGUUCUUAGCUUUCCGCUCUCCUUGGUGAUAGUUUUGGGUUAAUCUUCUGUCGUGAAAAUACAGUUCAUCGAUAGCCUUUCCUAUUGUGUUUUUGCCUUCAUAGCGCUCUUUUCUUCCAUUCUCCAUAUUGUCAUUGGUCUUUGAGAUCUAGGAAUGUAGUUCUUCUCAUGAGAAGAACUGACGAUGUGUUUUUCUUCGUUUGCUCUUAAUUCUCCUGCCACUCAUGUGUUGGAUUUUCAGCUUUUGCACGCAAUGGUGCGUUUUUGGUGGCUAACAUCUUCGGGCUCUUUGCCAUUUCUUGUUUUAUUUUGGCAACAGAGGCCUUCAUUUUCAAGCGGCAAUGUUGAGCUAGAAAAAAUACUAGCUGUCAGUUUGUGUGGUGUUUCCUCCGGUUGUCGUUUUGGAUUGGCAUUAUUGUUUAAGAGCUUGUCACUGCUAUAUUUCUUGAUUAGCUUUAUGUGAUGACUUCUCCUUUGGAUUUCCUUCCAGAAGAUUAUUUUCUUCCAUAUCCUAAAUUUGUUUAGUUAAUGAAAUUUAUGGUUUACUUCGUUCUAGAUU
rnacentral:lncRNA from 1 species